rnacentral:lncRNA from 8 species
AUGAAAAACGUUAGUGUGUGUUUGGUCUUCGGUCCGCUGCGUGUAGAAAAUAUCGUCCUACUUCGACACACAGAAAUUGGAGUCGACGGCAAGGAGUCGAGGAAUCGAUUGUUUUGGAUUCAACUCCCCACCAGUUGCAAGUUGGUGAACCUGUGGUUUCAAAGUUCAGAGAAGCCUUUAGUGGCUGCCAUUUCGCAGAACAACAACUUCUAUCGACAGAGUGCCAAAAUGGCCGGUUCUCUUUCAUCCUGCGACCAUCAAGAGGACUGUGGCGAAGAGAUGAUGGAGUUUAACAAGGAUUUCGAGAGAAUGAUUGAAGACGUGGAAAAUAUAUCAGGUAUGGUAGGUAGCAUUAUUAAGCAUCUGUAUGAUGUAGCUAGUGUUAUUCUUAGAAAAAAUUGCUGACACUGUCUUUUUACUUUGCCAAUUCCUAACUCUCUACUGUCAUAUUUCAUUUACUACCCACCCUUUUUUUUAUUGCAUUUAGAAAAGUUAAUGGGUGUGUGUAAUUCAAUACAAAUUCUGCCAUGUGUUUUAAAUCAUACUCUGUAUGGCCCACUACUGUCUGACUCUGACAGCCAUGUCCCUCUUGUCUCCCCUGUGGUUUCCCAGUGCAACUGACAUGGAUGGCCAAUGACAUGGUGGUGCAGCGGAUCAGUCCUGAUCUGGAGGACUCCCUAUGGCAGCUGGAGGAAGAGCUCAACCCCUGUCCCCUGGGGAACAGGAGCCGAACCAGAGGCUGGAAAAAGACCAGGGGAUGGGGAUGGUAUAGGAACUGGGACAGGGGCUGAACCAGGGGAUGGGGAUGGUAUAAGCACUGGGACAGGGGCUGAACCAGGGGAUGGGGAUGGUAUAAGAACUGGGACAGGGGCUGAACCAGGGGAUGGGGAUGGUAUAGGAACUGGGACAGGGAUGGAACCAGAGGAUGGGGAUGGUAUAGGAACUGGGACGGGCUGAACCAGGGUAUGGGGAUGGUAUAGGAACUGGGACAGGGGCUGAACCAGGGGAUGGGGAUGGUAUAGGAACUGGGACAGGGGCUGAACCAUGGGAUGGGGAUGGUAUAGGAACUGGGACAGGGGCUGAAUCAGGGGAUGUGGAUGGUAUAGGAACUGGGACAGGGGCUGAACCAGGGGAUGGGGAUGGUAUAGGAACUGGGACAGGGGCUGAACCAGGAGAUGGGGAUGGUAUAGGAACUGGGACAGGGGCUGACCAUGAGAUGGGGAUGGUAUAGGAACUGGGACAGGGGCUGACCAUGGGAUGGGGAUGGUAUAGGAACUGGGACAGGGGCUGAACCAUGGGAUGGGGAUGGUAUAGGAACUGGGACAGGGGCUGAACCAGGGGAUGGGGAUGGUAUAGGAACUGGGACAGGGGCUGAAUCAGGGGAUGGGGAUGGUAUAGGAACUGGGACAGGGGCUGACCAUGGGAUGGGGAUGGUAUAGGAACUGGGACAGGGGGUGAACCAGGGGAUGGUAUAGGAACUGGGACAGGGGCUGACCAUGGGAUGGGGAUGGUAUAGGAACUGGGACAGGGGCUGACCAUGGGAUGGGGAGGGAGUGUCCUAGACCUGUACAUACCACCUUUAUCCCACUGACAAAGAUGUGAUUAUCUGUGAUUCACCAGGAAUGUCUGCUGUUCUGAAAUGGACCUGAAUCCAAAGCUAGUAGCCCGUGCUCUGUAUGCUUGUCUACAAUGUUGUUGCAGUUGUAUGUACAGUAGACUAGAGUCUCAUAUCUGCAGCAGCAGUCUCUCUCUCUCUCUGACAGAAGCAGAAACCACUGGAGAUAGGUGAUAGAGAUGUCUCCUGCCCCACACUGUAUGCUGUCUAAGCUGAGCAGCAGGCUGUUGUAUGUAGGUUAUCAUUGUGUGUUAUGUACCUGUGGACAGGGUUUUAAUUAACUUUAGUGUUGUGUUAUGAAUUUGGGGUUUGGUCAAAUAAAAAGAUAAAACUUGAAUAGAGAAUAUUGACUGAUAGAUUGUUUAUUGGGAUGCCAAAAGGAGUUGGUAAAAUGUGCAUACACGUGUUGACAUUCCAUUUAUUCUUGGUCACAUCCCAGUCAUACCCCCAGCAGUCGUAGUACUGUAGAGUUUGUACUUAGGGCUUACAGUUUCUAAAGCCUUUACCACAUUCCUCAGAGUAGUAUGUACACUGAACAAAAACAUAAACGCAAAAUGCAACAAUUUCAAAGAUUUUACUGUGUUACAGUUCAUAUAAGGAAAUCAGUCAAUUGAAAUAAAUUAAUUAGGCCCAAAUCUAUACAUUUCACAUGCCUGGGAAUACAGAUACAUCUAUUGGUCACAGAUACUGUACCUUAAAGAAAGGUAGGGGUGUGGAUCAGAAAACCAGUCAGAAGCUGUGUUCGAAUACCCAUACUAACAUAAUGUACACUACAUACGCAAUGAGUGUAUAUACUACAUAGUAUAUACUAUUAGUCCAUUUUAGUAUACUGUAAACGAAUGGUAUCCUUUCAGUUGAGUGUACUAGCACUUCACCAGUCUGCCCGGAAGUUGAUGCUGUUGCUAUGCAACUUCUUGCUAGCUUGUUUGCAUAGCUAACAAAUUACAAGCUAGACAUCUUACGACUUCAUUAAAACUUCUUAAGGCUAGGGGGCAGUAUUCGGAGGUUUGGAUCACUGAGGUGCCCAAAGUAAACUGCCUGUUACUCAGGCCCAGAAGCUAGGAUAUGCAUAUAAUUGGUAGUAUUGGAUAGAAAACACUCUAAAGUUUCUAAAACAGUUAAAAUAAUGUCUGUGAGUAUAACAGAACUGAUAUGGCAGGCAAAAACCCGAGGAGAAUCCAUCUGGGAAAAUCAAAGGAAUACCUCCCAGAUUGCAGUUCCUAGGG